rnacentral:lncRNA from 1 species
GGUAACAGCUAGGGUAGAACCUACACAAAUCCAGUCCAGUUAACACUCAGUAAUUGUUUCUACUUUUUAAAACAUAUUAUUAUUUCUUUUGGUUAAAUUGCCAAAGAGGUGAGUUGGUGUGCUGUGAGGGAAUCUGGAAGGUGUCCAGCAGAGCAUAGAGAUUUCCUGUGACUUUGCCCUGAGAGCCACAUCACCCCUAAGUAAACACCAUCUCCAGGCUGCCUGGUGCCAGGUGAAUGGUACCAACAAACUUAAUGGAAAAAAAGAAGCUCUCAUACUCCAAUGCAACUGAAUAUGAGGCAGCAGCAAGAAGGAAUGACUUACUGAGAUGUGCACAGAUACAGAUGACUCUCAAAAGCAUUCUGCUGGACUUGAAGAGCUGUAAGUCUGACUUGGUGUUUGUGAUGACUGAGGAAAGGAAAGCCUAGAAGGAAAAGCAGAUAUGCAGUUUUAGGGCCCAGAGCAGGAGCGAGGAGCCUGAUGAG